UCCGUAGGUGAACCUGCGGAGGGAUCAUUACCGAGUUUACAACUCCCAAACCCCUGUGAACAUACCACUUGUUGCCUCGGCGGAUCAGCCCGCUCCCGGUAAAACGGGACGGCCCGCCAGAGGACCCCUAAACUCUGUUUCUAUAUGUAACUUCUGAGUAAAACCAUAAAUAAAUCAAAACUUUCAACAACGGAUCUCUUGGUUCUGGCAUCGAUGAAGAACGCAGCAAAAUGCGAUAAGUAAUGUGAAUUGCAGAAUUCAGUGAAUCAUCGAAUCUUUGAACGCACAUUGCGCCCGCCAGUAUUCUGGCGGGCAUGCCUGUUCGAGCGUCAUUUCAACCCUCAAGCACAGCUUGGUGUUGGGACUCGCGUUAAUUCGCGUUCCUCAWAUUGAUUGGCGGUCACNGWMGAGCUUCCAUARCGUAGUAGUAAAACCCUCGUUACUGGUAAUCGUCGCGGCCACGCCGUUAAACCCCAACUUCUGAAUGUUGACCUCGGAUCAGGUAGGAAUACCCGCUGAACUUAAGCAUAUCAAUAAGCGGAGGAA
rnacentral:rRNA from 1 species